rnacentral:rRNA from 1 species
GACGAACGCUGGCGGCGUGCCUAAUACAUGCCAGUAGAACGCUGAAGAGAGGAGCUUGCUCUUCUUGGAUGAGUUGCGAACGGGUGAGUAACGCGUAGGUAACCUGCCUUGUAGCGGGGGAUAACUAUUGGAAACGAUAGCUAAUACCGCAUAACAAUGGAUGACCCAUGUCAUUUAUUUGAAAGGGGCAAAUGCUCCACUACAAGAUGGACCUGCGUUGUAUUAGCUAGUAGGUGAGGUAACGGCUCACCUAGGCGACGAUACAUAGCCGACCUGAGAGGGUGAUCGGCCACCCUGGGACUGAGACACGGCCCAGACUCCUACGGGAGGCAGCAGUAGGGAAUCUUCGGCAAUGGGGGCAACCCUGACCGAGCAACGCCGCGUGAGUGAAGAAGGUUUUCGGAUCGUAAAGCUCUGUUGUAAGUCAAGAACGAGUGUGAGAGUGGAAAGUUCACACUGUGACGGUAGCUUACCAGAAAGGGACGGCUAACUACGUG